GAUGAACGCUAGCGGCAGGCCUAACACAUGCAAGUCGAGGGGUAUAAGGGUGCUUGCACCCUUAGAGACCGGCGCACGGGUGCGUAACGCGUAGGCAAUUUGCCUUAUACUGGGGGAUAGCCCGGAGAAAUUCGGAUUAAUACCCCAUAGCAUCUUUUAGAGGCAUCUCUGAGAGAUUAAAGAAUUUCGGUAUAAGAUAAGCCUGCGUCCUAUUAGCUAGAUGGAGAGGUAAUAGCUCACCAUGGCGACGAUAGGUAGGGGUCCUGAGAGGGAGAUCCCCCACACUGGUACUGAGACACGGACCAGACUCCUACGGGAGGCAGCAGUGAGGAAUAUUGGUCAAUGGACGAAAGUCUGAACCAGCCAUGCCGCGUGCAGGACGACGGUCCUACGGAUUGUAAACUGCUUUUUUACGGGAAGAAACCCGGUUUUGCGAAACCGACUGACGGUACCGUAAGAAUAAGGAUCGGCUAACUCCG
rnacentral:rRNA from 1 species